rnacentral:rRNA from 1 species
GACGUAGGAUGCGAGCGUUGUCCGGAUUUAUUGGGCGUAAAGAGUUCGUAGGCGGUUCGUUAAGUCUGAUGUUAAAGACUGGGGCCCAACCCUGGGAGUGCAUUGGAUACUGGCGGACUGGAGUGCAGUAGAGGCAAGCGGAAUUCCAGGUGUAGCGGUAGAAAUGCGUAGAUAUCUGGAAGAACACCGGUGGCGCAAGCGGCUUGCUGGGCUGUAACUGACGCUGAGGAGCGAAAGCCAGGGGAGCAAACGGG